CACCAAGUAUCUGUGUGACAAAUGGAGCAAAAGUGAUUUGUGCAUCUGUAGAGGCAGCGGCGGCCCUCUGCAGAGAUCAGAGAAGUUUGACCAAUCAGAAGAGCUACACUGUAUCCGGUUUUUGUUAUUCUUUAUAGUUCUUCGGUUUUUUAUGAUCAAGUUUGUGGAUCUUAUCGUCUGCAACAUCGAGGGUGUAUUUUGGAGCCAUCGCGACAGUGAUUACAUCAGCUGGUUUUAGUCUAUUGUCACCUGCAACGGAGGUGUAUUGGAGUCUUUUCCUGUGAUUGAAUCAUAGAGGUGGUAACAACAGUUUGUGGUCUGGAUCAUGUCAUCUGCAAUACAUUCCAGUUGGAGGCUUUUUUUGUGAUUGCUAUCGUAACGGGGAUAACAUCAACUGGU